UGGUGGAGUGAUUUGUUUGGUUAAUUCCGUUAACGAACGAGACCGCUGCCUGCUAAAUAGUUGGAUGAGUGUUUUGACACUGAUUGCAGCUUCUUAGAGGGACAUGGAUUAUUAAAAUCCAGGAAGAUAGCGGCAAUAACA
rnacentral:rRNA from 1 species